rnacentral:tRNA from 1 species
GUCGGAGUGGCGGAACUGGUAGACGCGCUAGGUUGAGGGCCUAGUGGGAGAGCAUCCCGUGGAGGUUCGAGUCCUCUCUCCGACA